AUUGAACGCUGGCGGCAGGCCUAACACAUGCAAGUCGAGCGGAAGAAGGGAGCUUGCUCCUGGAUCAGCGGCGGACGGGUGAGUAAUGCCUAGGAAUCUGCCUGGUAGUGGGGGAUAACGUCCGGAAACGGGCGCUAAUACCGCAUACGUCCUGAGGGAGAAAGUGGGGGAUCUUCGGACCUCACGCUAUCAGAUGAGCCUAGGUCGGAUUAGCUAGUUGGUGGGGUAAAGGCCUACCAAGGCGACGAUCCGUAACUGGUCUGAGAGGAUGAUCAGUCACACUGGAACUGAGACACGGUCCAUACUACUACGGGAGGCAGCAGUGGGGAAUAUUGGACAAAGGGCGAAAGCCUGGUCCAGCCAUGCCGCGUGUGUGAAGAAGAUCUUCGGAGUGUAAAGCACUUUAAGUUGGGAGGAAGGGCAGUAAGUUAAUACCUUGCUGUUUUGACGUUACCAACAGAAUAAGCACCGGCUAACUUCGUG
rnacentral:rRNA from 1 species